GUGGGGAAUAUUGGACAAUGGGCGCAAGCCUGAUCCAGCCAUGCCGCGUGAGUGAUGAAGGCCCUAGGGUUGUAAAGCUCUUUCACCGGUGAAGAUAAUGACGGUAACCGGAGAAGAAGCCCCGGCUAACUUCGUGCCAGCAGCCGCGGUAAUACGAAGGGGGCUAGCGUUGUUCGGAAUUACUGGGCGUAAAGCGCACGUAGGCGGAUCGAUCAGUUAGGGGUGAAAUCCCGGGGCUCAACCCCGGAACUGCCUCUAGUACUGUCGAUCUGGAGUUCGAGAGAGGUGAGUGGGAUUCCGAGUGUAGAGGUGAAAUUCGUAGAUAUUCGGAGGAACACCAGUGGCGAAGGCGGCUCACUGGCUCGAUACUGACGCUGAGGUGCGAAAGCGUGGGGAGCAAACAGGAUUAGAAACCCCGGUAGUCC
rnacentral:rRNA from 1 species